AACGCACAUUGCGCCUUUUGGUAUUCCGAGAGGCACGCCUGUCUGAGCGUCAGUAAUACCUUCGGUUUGACGAUUUAUUGUCUCGCCGGCGUUGGCGGUUUUGGGAUACGUAGGGCAACCCGCGCCAUUCCGCUUAAACACUGACAGCGGUCGAGUUCUUAACCCCCACCGAUUAGUAGAAAUAUUUAUCGUUUAAGGAUUUGAACUCUUCGCCAUACAAAAUUGGGACCUGCAAAGGGCUAAUCCCACAAUUUUGACCUCAGAUCAGACGAGGAUACCCGCUGAACUUAA
rnacentral:misc_RNA from 1 species